rnacentral:rRNA from 1 species
GACAGAGGGUGCAAACGUUGCUCGGAAUUACUGGGCGUAAAGCGUGCGCAGGCGGUGAUGUAAGACAGGGGUGAAAUCCCCGGGCUUAACCUGGGAACUGCAUUUGUGACUGCAUCGCUGGAGUGCGGCAGAGGGGGAUGGAAUUCCGCGUGUAGCAGUGAAAUGCGUAGAUAUGCGGAGGAACACCGAUGGCGAAGGCAAUCCCCUGGGCCUGCACUGACGCUCAUGCACGAAAGCGUGGGGAGCAAACAGG